AUCAAUUCAUCACGCUGAUUUGAAAAAGAACAAUAAAUAAGAAAAUAUUGACAAUAAAUUGUGUGGCUCUGUCGAUUCAUUUUUUAUUUUGAAACUGCCCCUGCCCUUCGAUCCGGUCUAUCUCCGUCCCUACUUGGCAGAGCCUGACUUCCAUUCCAUCUCGAUCUCGGCGAUGCCGCGCAUGGCGCGACGCACAGCAAUGACUUCGCGAAGUCGCGAAGCUGCACGCGUCUAGCGAGCGCGUGUAGCUCGCCCCCCCCUGGCGGAAGCCGCCACCACAGGCAUGGCAUCUGGCUGGCGGAGCAUUCGUCUGGCCGGCGUCAGACAUGACGCGGCCGAGAUCAAGCCGGAGACGGUUCGUGGCCUCUUCUCACCACCACAGCCGCAGCCUCCCAGUCGCCAGGAUACUAGGAUGCGCUCGUGAAGACUUUCCAUUACGUUGAAUCAAAGGUGAGAUCACAUAGACCAUGCCCUGCACCUGUUGGUUGUUUUGCUCAAGUGAAUCUUCAGUGCAUCUUUUUCUAUAUUUUGCUUUGUUGUCCGUACGAUUAUACGAACGUCAGGGUUGGGUUAUCUUAACAAUCCACGUUCACAAUUUUCUACUAAAUAAUCUAUGCUUAUUCAUCUUAGUAUUGUGAUUCUUAGGAUCCCCUGUCCUGAUCACACGUUUCAGAUUCUAAUGUACCUCCAAUACAACUCAUAUAUUAGUUUCUACUAAUUUUAUUUCAUGGAUACUU
rnacentral:lncRNA from 7 species